GGGGGUAUAGCUCUGUGGUAGAGCAUUCGAUUGCAGAUCGAAAGGUCUCCGGUUCAAACCCAGGUGUCCCCU
rnacentral:tRNA from 1 species